GGGGAUGAGUUUGGGCUUGACGGCACCUUGAGGGCGGGUAGGGUUUCACCGAAGUGCCGACUAUGUCGGUGCGGGUGGCUCCCGCCUGAAAAGGGAGAAAAUGUUGCCACCGCAGCAGCUAAUGUUCUCCCCGCUUAAAAAAGGGGAGAUGUUCUCGGGGUAGUUGCUCCUGCUCCCCGGGGGCAUGAUUGAAGGAGCUUUAAGCACUGCCUCCGCCCACGGGGUGGUGCUUGAAAAUAAUAGUGGGCGAGGAAAAGCUAUAUCCAGCGGAGGGGAUAGGCUUUUCCUAAAAAAUUGCCUCCGCUACGCGGUGUAAAGGCUCUACUCCGCCCGGUGUCGGACGGGGGUUCGAAUCCCCCCAUCUCCACCA
rnacentral:tmRNA from 1 species